GCUUACGGCCAUACCAGCUGAAGAACCGCCCGAUCUCGUCUGAUCUCGGAAGCUAAGAAUGCUUGGGCCUGGUUUAGUACUUGGAUGGGAGAACGUGCCUGGGGAGUACCAGGUGCUGUAAGCU
ensembl:rRNA 5S_rRNA 5S ribosomal RNA